GUCCUGUUUACACUGAGGAAAGAUCUACAGAUUACAGCAGGAGUUAACCACAGCUUACCUGAAAACUCUCAUCUAACUUGAGUCCAAGAAGCAGAUGCUGCCCUCUUUUACACCGGUGCAAUUCUGGAAUAACUCCACUGACGUCAGUGAAGUGAAAUUUAUCCCAGUUGAAAGCAGAAUUGGACCACAGUCUCAUCAUCUGCUUAUAUGCUAUGGUGCUCUCAGGAAGGUGCACCAUUACCAUACCAUAAGGUAUGAUUUGAAAGAGGGUAGUAGUGGUCAGCAUGCACAGUGUGGAACAUGUCUUGUCAGCCAUGCUCAGAGCUGGACCUGUUGUGUGGGGUUUCAAGCAACAUGUGCAGUGAGGCUGGAUUCUGGAUGAUGCAAGGCUGUUGUGUCAGAAUGCUGCAAAAGAUGUUGCAUCUCCUCCUCAUGGUGUUGGUGAAGUUUCCCUCUGUGCAGGGAAUACAGCAUUUAUGGACAGGAAACUGCUUUCCUUGCUUAGAGGUUUUCUUAUUUUCUUUAAAGGGGUUAGCAUGCUUAGUUACAGGAAACUGAAAUUAGAUGUGAACAGGGGUUGGAGGAAGCAGGCAGGGAGAAUCCUCUACAAGAUUCAAAUGUGUAUGAUUUCUGGGAAAACUAAAUAAAACAGAAUUUAAUUCCCAGUGUCUAAAUAGCAGCAAUUUUUCAUCUAUUAAUCAAAAGACCCAGACAAGCACUGAGUAGUGUGGGAAGCUGGAAAUGGACAUAGGACACCUCCAAACCAUUCUGUUACUGACACCUAUUUUAAAUCUUUUUUCAAGUGGAGGACCCAGUCCUAGCAAAUGUGUACAGUCAGCCCUUAGAAGAGCACAAAGCUUUCUCUAGAGAACUAAAUAGCUGGUGAAAGCAUGCCCAUUUGUCUGCCUGUCUUUUGCCCCUGGAUUACUGUGCUUUUAUAGACUGUUUUCAUAGCUCAAAUAAAUGGUAGAAGCUUAACAUAGCUCUACAAAUAAUAAUCAUCCUGAUCAUGCAUAAUAUGUGUUAUGUAAGAGGUGGGCCCAAACUAGAGAUAUUUCUCAUUUCCCUAUGAAGUGUCUUGUUUGAGUGUAUUUGGAGUUAGUUCUUCUUGUGAACAUGUGAGUCUAUUGCCUACUUUAAAGGAGGUAGUGACUUAGUUUCAGUGGCUGUAGAGAGUUUCACUGAAAUAGCACUGUUUAUAGUCUUUCAUGUGAUUUAGAAGGCACAAUUGCCAUAUAGUUCUGAAAAUGUAAUAUAAUUGUAUACAGUGUUCCUGGGAAAUGUUCUGAAGUUUUUUCCCACUGCACCAUUGUGAUGAAAACCUCUGUUGCUCUUCACGCUCUGUGAGCCCAUGCUGUACUAUGCUGAAGUUGAUGGGAAACCCACUUAGUAAUAGGAAGUGAUGGACAGAGAGGGAUGCUCUGGCCUGGAAUCUCCUCUUUGGCAAUGGCACAGGUCAGCCCUGCAGCCAAAAGUCCAGAACAAAAGGCAGAUCUACCCUCAGUGUGUUGCCAGUUCUCCAUGUAGGUGAAUAGGAGGAUGAGAAAUAGAGAAGUAAUUCUGGAAGGAGAGAGAUUUAGAGGAAGAGUGGAGUAAAAGGGGUUCUGAUCAUUACAUCUGGGAUUUUCAAAGGUACUCUAUUGAUGCUGGGCAUCCAGCUCCUCCAGGCUAUUUAUCAAUAACACCCUUUAAAUUUUCAUGUAUGACUUUUAGCUUGUGUGGCAGUCCUUACAGUCAGCGCAUGAGGGAAAAGAGGUAGAAAGCAUCUCCUAAUGUGACAGUUCUUGGCACCUGUAACAAGCAAGGAUUGUAAUAUCUCCUCAUGGCUGCUGACUGAGGGUCUGGCCAGAGCUGCCACAAACCCUUCUUGCAUGGGCAGUUGUCUUCAGAGGUAGACAAAGUGUAAGCUGCCUGCUGCAGAAAUCUGUGAGCCUUCAGAUGCAUGGCAUGCAGAUCAGAGACUUUAGGUGAUACUGUGUGCCACCACAAACAGCAUGGAUAUUGGUUGCAGGACCCUUUUGCUUUUGCUGUGAAAUCUAACUCCUAGAUGUUAUUUAAAGGAAAACAGUUGGGAUUUGCAGGCCAGGUCAUGUGGUGACAAAAGUAUUUCCAGUGCCCUCACUGGAGCCAGGCUGAUUUAUACAAGUCUAGUCCAACAUUUCUGAGAAACUGUGGAUGAUAGGUUUUUUUGUUGUUGUUCUUGGCUGCACUGAAAACCUGAAGCCUUUCAAAUAAAGUAUGUGAAGGAAACAGAUUUUUUAGAUGGAAUAGUGAAAAUGCUGUUUUCUGGACUCAGACUUUGAGACAAGUUUUUUGCAGAACCCACAUGUUGUGAGAGAAGAGGGUAUUGGGCUUGAAAGCUGACCAAUGAAAUGGGACUCAACUGAGCUUUGAAAAGCAAUUAUUGUCCUUAUUGGUGUUGCCAUAAUAUAUGCUUAACUCAAACCCAAUCUUGCACAGGCCAGAACCCAAUGAAACCAUGUAACUAGGUAUUUGUGAUUGUUCCUAUCGGUGUGAUCCACUGUUGAAUAGGCUGGACAUAUGAAUAAAACCAAUAUUUUUUAAAGUGUUGUGUGUUUUUCAUGUCAAAAAGACUGGUUGCACUCUGGUACUUUACUAUGUCCAUAUGAAGUAUAUUAUGUGGGAUUAAUACAACUGUACAGCUUUCUUAGGACAAUUGGCAGC
ensembl:lncRNA